AUGGCGACCCGCAGCCCCAGCGUCGUGAUCAGUGAUGAUGAACCAGGUUAUGACCUAGAUGUAUUUAUUCUGUAUACCUCAUCAUUAUGCUGAAGAUUUGGAAAAGGUGUUUAUUCCUCAUGGACUGAUAAUGGACAGGACCGAGGGGCUUGCUCAAGAUGUGAUGAAGGAGAUGGGAGGCCAUCACAGCAUAGCCCUCUGUGUGCUCAAGGGAGGCUAUAAAUUCUUUGCUGAUCUGCUGGAUUAUAUCAACGCACUGAACAGAAAUAGUGAUGGAUCCAUUCCCAUGACUGUAGAUUCCAUCAGACUGAAGAACUACAGAAUGGACCAGUCAACAGGGGACAUCCAAUGUAAUUGGUGGAGAUGAUCUCUCAACUUUGACUGGAAAGAAUGUCUUGAUUGUUGAGGAUAUAAUUGACAUUGGCAAAACAAUGCAAACCUUGCUUUCCUUGGUCAAGGAGCAUAAUCCAAAGAUGGUCAAGGUCGAAAGCUUGCUGGUGAAGAGGACCCUUCGAAGUGUUGGCUAUAAACCAGACUUUGUUGGAUUUGAAAUUCCAGACAAGUUUGUUGUAGGAUUUGCCCUUGACUAUAAUGAAUACUUCAGGGAUUUGAAUCAUGUUUAUGUCAUUAGUGAAACUGCAAAAGCAAAAUACAAAGCCUAAGAUGAGAAUUCAAGUUGAGUUUGGAAGCAUCUGGA